UACAGAGGUCUCAAGCGUUGUUCGGAAUCACUGGGCGUAAAGGGUGCGUAGGCCGCGCGGAAAGUCAGAGGUGAAAUCCCGGAGCUCAACUUCGGAAUUGCCUCCGAUACUCCCGUGCUUGAGGACUGGAGAGGAGUCUGGAAUUCACAGUGGAGCAGUGAAAUGCGUAGAUAUUGUGAGGAACACUAGUGGCGAAGGCGAGACUCUGGACAGUUCCUGACGCUGAGGCACGAAGGCCAGGGGAGCAAACGGG
rnacentral:rRNA from 1 species